UAGGGAAUCUUCCGCAAUGGACGCAAGUCUGACGGAGCAACGCCGCGUGAGUGAAGAAGGAUUUCGGUUCGUAAAACUCUGUUGUUAGAGAAGAACAGCGCAUAGAGUAACUGUUAUGCGUGUGACGGUAUCUAACCAGAAAGCCACGGCUAACUACGUGCCAGCAGCCGCGGUAAUACGUAGGUGGCAAGCGUUGUCCGGAUUUAUUGGGCGUAAAGCGAGCGCAGGCGGUCAAUUAAGUCUGAUGUGAAAGCCCCCGGCUCAACCGGGGAGGGUCAUUGGAAACUGGUUGACUUGAGUGCAGAAGAGGAAAGUGGAAUUCCAUGUGUAGCGGUGAAAUGCGCAGAGAUAUGGAGGAACACCAGUGGCGAAGGCGACUGUCUGGUCUGUAACUGACGCUGAUGUGCGAAAGCGUGGGGAUCAAACAGG
rnacentral:rRNA from 1 species